rnacentral:tRNA from 7 species
GGGCCCUUAGCUCAGUUGGUUAGAGCGGUCGGCUCAUAACCGAUUGGUCGCAGGUUCGAGUCCUGCAGGGCCCACCA